CCUCGGGAGGCAGCAGUGGGGAAUCUUAGACAAUGGGGGCAACCCUGAUCUAGCCAUGCCGCGUGAGUGAUGAAGGCCUUAGGGUCGUAAAGCUCUUUCGCCUGUGAUGAUAAUGACAGUAGCAGGUAAAGAAACCCCGGCUAACUCCGUGCCAGCAGCCGCGGUAAUACGGAGGGGGUUAGCGUUGUUCGGAAUUACUGGGCGUAAAGCGCGCGUAGGCGGAUUAGAAAGUUGGGGGUGAAAUCCCGGGGCUCAACCCCGGAACUGCCUCCAAAACUGCUAGUCUAGAGUUCGAGAGAGGUGAGUGGAAUUCCGAGUGUAGAGGUGAAAUUCGUAGAUAUUCGGAGGAACACCAGUGGCGAAGGCGGCUCACUGGCUCGAUACUGACGCUGAGGUGCGAAAGUGUGGGGAGCAAACAGGAUUAGAUACCCUGGUAGUCCACACCGUAAACGAUGAAUGCCAGUCGUCGGAUAGUAUACUAUUCGGUGACACACCUAACGGAUUAAGCAUUCCGCCUGGGGAGUACGGUCGCAAGAUUAAAACUCAAAUGAAUUGACGG
rnacentral:rRNA from 1 species